GCGGAUGUGGCGGAACUGGCAGACGCACUAGACUUAGGAUCUAGCGCUUAACGGCGUGGGGGUUCGAGUCCCUUCAUCCGCACCA
rnacentral:tRNA from 1 species